AGUGAACGCUGGCGGUAGGCCUAACACAUGCAAGUCGAACGGCAGCACAGUAAGAGCUUGCUCUUACGGGUGGCGAGUGGCGGACGGGUGAGGAAUACAUCGGAAUCUACUUUUUCGUGGGGGAUAACGUAGGGAAACUUACGCUAAUACCGCAUACGACCUACGGGUGAAAGCAGGGGAUCUUCGGACCUUGCGCGAUUGAAUGAGCCGAUGUCGGAUUAGCUAGUUGGCGGGGUAAAGGCCCACCAAGGCGACGAUCCGUAGCUGGUCUGAGAGGAUGAUCAGCCACACUGGGACUGAGACACGGUCCAGACUCCUACGGGAGGCAGCAGUGGGGAAUAGUGGACAAUGGGCGCAAGCCUGAUCCAGCCAUACCGCGUGGGUGAAGAAGGCCUUCGGGUUGUAAAGCCCUUUUGUUGGGAAAGAAAAGCAGCAGGUUAAUACCCCGCUGUUCUGACGGUACCCAAAGAAUAAGCACCGGCUAACUUCGUG
rnacentral:rRNA from 1 species